AAAACGCAACUUUACCAUUUCACGGCGAUCGUCAUCGCCGGUAUGGGUUUCUUUACAGAUGCUUAUGAUCUGUUUUGUGUCUCCUUGGUGACCAAGCUUCUUGGCCGCCUAUACUACUUCAAUCCGUUGUCAGAAAAGCCUGGUUCACUUCCCCCUCAUGUUGCGGCGGCGGUCAACGGUGUGGCCCUUUGUGGAACCCUUGCUGGUCAGCUUUUCUUUGGAUGGCUGGGUGACAAGCUCGGAAGGAAAAAAGUGUAUGGUAUCACUUUGAUCAUGAUGAUCGUGUGCUCCGUGGCUUCUGGUCUAUCUUUUGGUAACAAAGCCAAGGGUGUCAUGACCACCCUUUGCUUCUUCAGGUACAAUUAUCAUUAUAAUUAUAUACUUAAACAUGUUUUAAUAAUAAUCUCAUAGUGAAUACGCAUGUUUUAAAAAUUACUGGUUUGGACUAGAUAUGACUAGUCAAAAAAUAAAUAUAAACAUAUUUAAUUUAUUUUUUUAUUAAUUUAGGUUUUGGCUGGGAUUCGGUAUUGGAGGUGAUUACCCUCUUUCUGCGACCAUUAUGUCUGAAUACGCUAACAAGAAGACUCGUGGUGCUUUCAUCGCUGCCGUGUUUGCUAUGCAAGGUGUUGGUAUCUUAGCCGGAGGUUUCGUGGCACUUGCUGUCUCUUCCAUUUUCGACAAAAAGUUUCCAGCUCCGACCUAUGCAGUCAACAGGGCUCUCUCAACGCCUCCACAAGCUGACUAUAUUUGGAGAAUCAUCGUCAUGUUUGGCGCUCUACCUGCAGCUUUGACUUACUACUGGCGUAUGAAGAUGCCCGAAACUGCUCGUUACACCGCUUUGGUUGCAAAGAACAUCAAACAGGCCACACAAGACAUGUCCAAGGUCUUACAAGUGGAGCUUGAGAUGGAGGAAAGAGCAGAGGAUAUCGUUAAAGACCCUAGACUUAACUAUGGCUUGUUCUCCAAAGAAUUUGCCAAACGUCAUGGUCUUCCCCUCCUUGGAUGUACCUCCACAUGGUUCUUGCUUGACAUUGCAUUUUACAGCCAAAACUUGUUUCAAAAAGAUAUCUUUUCAGCUAUUGGAUGGAUCCCAAAGGCAGCAACCAUGAACGGAAUCCACGAGGUUUUCAUGAUUGCUAGGGCACAAACACUCAUUGCACUUUGCAGUACCGUCCCCGGCUAUUGGUUCACGGUUGCAUUUAUUGAUAUUAUGGGAAGGUUUGCGAUUCAGCUAAUGGGUUUCUUCAUGAUGACCGUCUUUAUGUUUGCGAUUGCCUUCCCUUACGACCACUGGAUCAAACCGGACAAUCGUAUUGGUUUCGUGGUUAUGUACUCUCUUACCUUUUUCUUUGCUAACUUUGGUCCAAACGCAACCACCUUCAUCGUACCGGCUGAAAUCUUCCCAGCCAGGCUAAGGUCCACAUGCCACGGAAUAUCAGCCGCAACAGGCAAGGCCGGAGCCAUCGUGGGAGCUUUUGGUUUCCUAUACGCAGCUCAACCACAAGACAAGACCAAGACAGAUGCAGGAUAUCCACCGGGCAUCGGAGUCAAGAACUCUCUGAUCAUGCUUGGUGUCAUUAACUUUGUCGGUAUGCUCUUCACCUUCCUUGUCCCUGAACCCAAAGGAAAGUCCCUUGAAGAGCUCUCCGGUGAGACUGAGGUUGAGAAGUGACCACGCCGUAAUAUUUUCAAUUGUAUGUGUUAUUUGUUUGUGUCAUUCUUCUUAUAUUUGUUUACUUUUUGUGAUGUGUGACGUGAUAAUCGUAAUGGCACCCAUGCUUUUGUAUAAUUCGAUCAAUUCUCAAAGAAAUGAUAAGAAGUAAACAUUUGUAUAAAUUGAUUCUCUUUAGUUUGUUACUUAUAAAUCUGUUACUAGUUUCUUUAAUACCGCGUAGAUUAUAUUAUAAGCAAAAUGAAUAUUUACAACUUAUAAAUUAACCUUCUUUUUUAAACAAACAGUUGAGCCAAACUGCAGUUUUAAAAAAAAGAAAAAAAAACUAAAUAGGCUACCUUAUUAUUCACAAAAGGAAAUUGUAUACUCAUAAAUAAACCUAAUUUUAGCAACAUAUUCAUGUUCUUAUUUGUAUAUAAGUUAUGAAUAUGUAAACGUCAUAAAUACAUAUCUACUCUAUUAAAAUAGAAUCACUUAAAAAAAACUAUUGUAAAAAAUCAAUGGUACAACCAUUUCAUUAAUAGUUAAUAUGAGGAUUUUUAGUGACUUAAACCCCCAACUACUUUUAAAUCAGAUCAUUAACUAAAAUUUUAUGUUUUUAAGCCUUCAAAUAUUAAAUUGUAAUGCCGUUAACCCUCUGUUAACAAAGUCAUCUUUUUGAAUGAAGACCCGUUAAAUUAAAACGCGUAUUUUCAGAUAAACACAAAAACGACACGAGAUACUUACAAUCAACUGGUAUUUUAAUGAUUUAAAUCUCCAACUAAAUCGGAUGAAAAACCCCCAACUAAAACUUUAUGUUUUUAAACUUUCAACUAUUAACGGUUUCCCGUUCAGAAAAGAUGACUAUGUUUACGAAGGUUUAAUAGUUGAGGUUUAAAAACAUAAAGUUUUAGUUGGGGGUUUUUCAUCGAAUUUAAAAAUAGUUGGAGGUUUAAAUCACUACAAUACCCGUUGAUUGUAAGCAUCUAGUGUCGUUUCUGUGAAUAUAUGAAACACCGUGUUUCAAUUUAAGGAGUCUCCGUUCAGAAAACAUGAUUUUGUUAACGAAGUAUUAAUGGCAUUAAUGUUUUGAGGGUUUAAAACAUAAAAUUUUAGUUGAGGAUUUUCUAUCCGAUUUAAGAAAUAGUUGGGGUUUAAAUCACUAAACACUUGUUUGACUAUUUAAAUCAAUUAGUCUAACAUCUACAUUAAAUCUGACAAAAUAUAUUUUCUAAAACAAACAAAUGUCCAUUUGCUAUCGAAUUAUUAAAAAUGAUUAUCAUGUGUGAUGUUUGACCAAAUAAAUUUGUUAGUUUAGUUUGGUAUAGCUUCAUAUUCUAUAAAUUGGUUUACUUUAUUUAUAUCUAUUCAUAUAUUACACAUCCGAUUAAACCAUCCGACUUAUACUUUAUUUUAUUUAUCACAAACAUAUGUUUGAGUUAACUAUAAACCACCAUCAAAUUUUGUGGUUUCUUAUCUCGCCUAUAUCAAUCACUUUAUGUUAAUGAUUGGCAACAUUAACAUCAUUAGCUAUGAUCGAACAUCAAAUUUUCUGAUUUUACGGGUAAACUUCAGUAGCUAAAAUUUUCUGUUCAUGAUAUACACAUUAACAUCAUUAGCUAUGACAUUCCAAUCCAUUUAUGGUUUAGUUUACACAUUAUUUACCAACGGAUUAUAUCUUGCCAAAUCGUCUUCUAAAAGAUAACGCUAAACAGAGAUUUUUCAGAUAUUAAAUAAAUUUCAAAAAUAUAUAUGAAUCAAAUUAUUAUGUUGGUAGAAAAUCAUUUGUAAAUAUAUCAACUAUAAGUCGGUAAAGUAGUUUCACAAAACAUUAACAUAUCUUUUAAUAUAUUUUUUAAGAAAUAAAUGAUUUUGUAAAUUGAUGAUAUUUUAUAUAUUUUCAAAUUAUUUUUCCUAACUAAUUUAAAAAAUAUCCGAACACUAACUUAUCCCACUUCAAAAACAAAGUGACAAUAUUCUAAUAUGGAGACAUUAACUUCCUUUUAUUCUUUUUUUUUUAAUUCAAGAUUUACAAACAAUAUACUAAUUUAUAAAUAUUGUUACCGUGAUAAAUUUAGUUAAUAUCUUACAAUAUAUUUUGAAAUCAUAAUCACAAAUAAAUUGGACGUAUCCAAUAUAGUUUAAUAUCUUUGAAAAUGUUUAAACCUUGUUGAUUAUGAAAUCACUAUAUUCUAUAUAGGCACACACACUUAUUAAGUUUCUGUACUUUCUCAAGAAAUCCAAAAAGAAUAUAAAUUCCACAUUUCUAAAAUAUGGUAAUAAAAGAGCUGUUUUGUACCUUAAAGAUGAUAAACGUUUCGAGACUGGAUGACGGAUUCAUGUUAAGGUGGUUCAUUCGUGGAAACAAAACAUUAACUAUGAUGGAGAUACUCUUGAACAAAUAGAAAAUAUUCGUAUAGACGUGCACAUCAAAACUCUAGUUUAGUAAUUCGUAUUAAACAUGGUGUUUUAUUAGAAACUGUUGUAGUUAUAAAUUUGUAGACAUGACGCGUGCCAACAGCUCUCCAAGUUGUUGUAAUACAGUUUUAUACUUUUCUGUUUUAAAGAGUUAUUCUAUGAUUAUAUACAUAUUAAAAAUUAAGAGAGUUACUAUAUCUUAUAUUAAUGUUCUAAAUAUAUUUUUAUUUAUAACUUUUAUAUUAAUUAGUAAAACAAAACCAGGAUUUUAUGUGUAAAUAAAAAUGAUAGUUUUGAAAUAAAAUAAAAAUGAUAAUAGCCAGGAUAUCCACUAUGGGAGCUUGUGAACCAGUAAUAUUAAUUUAUAAUGUAAUUUUCUUGUAAAGGAUUAUAGAAAUUCAGUUAGUACAGGUGGAAAAGUGGUGUGUUGCACCCAUAAAAACCCAAGUUUGAAACUACCUUUUGACUGUAUUUCAAUUUUAUUAUCAAUAAUAGUGUAUCCAAUAAUUAAAUAUCCUGGAUUCGCCGUUGUUAAUAGCUCGUUUUGUGAAAUGGAUAGAGUAAUUGUUUAAAGGGAAAUUUGCCAAAACGGAACAAAAAAAUAGUAUGGUUGUCCAUUUAGUAUAAUACCAUCAUUAAGUUUUCAUUUUAGUAUAAUUUUUUUCAUAAUAUCAAAAUUAACCCUUGAUUAAUCAAAUUAAAUACAUUAAAUACAAUUUAAAAGCUUAACCAAACUUUAAAAAGUUUAAUAAAAAGGAAAACAAUGUUUUAAUUUAAAAUUUUUAUUUUUUUAUUAAAAAGUGUAAUAAAACUAAAAAGUUCAAAAACAUUUUAAUUUUUUUAUAAAAAAAAACUAUGUAAAACGUUUUUUAUACUGUUUAUUUAAUGCUUUAUUAAAAACUUUCUUAUGAAGUUUUAUUUUAUUUUUAUUUUAUUUUUAUUAAAGUUUAAUAAAAAUGUUUUACAAAGUUUUAUUUUUAUUUUUCUACAAACGUUUUAAAAACGUUAAAAUUAAAAAAUAUAUUUUUUAUUAAAAGGUUUAACAAAAAAGAAAGAGCGUUUUUUAAAAAAAAAUUAAUAAAAAAAAGAAAAAAACGUUUUUGACAAGGUAAAUCGACCUAUACACAUUUUAAGGAAGUUAGAAUAUUUUUUUAACUGAAAUUUCCUUAAUUUCGCAAAAAGCAUGUUUUCUUAUCCGUAGAAGACAUCUUCUACACUGUGUAGAACAAUGACAAAAGUUCAUAAUGCAAUUACUACCUCAUGUAGACGUAUGAGUAGUGUUUAGAUUUUGCAUUCCGAGAAUUUUAGAGUAUUUCAUAAAAGUAGAAACUGCAUUAUGGAGAAAAGCAAAUAUCUUUACAAUUAAUAGAAUUCACAUUCUUUAUAUUUAGAAUUUUAAUUAAAAGUAGAUUGUUCGUUCUAAAAUAAGUAGAUGAACUUGUAUAAUCUAGAAUUCAUUUUCUACUAACCAAUUUUUUAUAGAAGACAAUAUCUAUUUUAGUAGAACAUUAUUUAAAUUUUUUAUUUAUUAAGUUUUUCAACUAAACAAAAAUACCAUUUUGUGUAUAUCGGUGUUUUAUUAAUUGUUUGUAUUUUUUAACUUUUUCUAUUUGUGAAACUAUUUAUUUCAUUAAGUUUCAGUAAUGAAAAAGGUAAAAGUAAGACAAAAUUGACAAAAUUGAUUUUAUACCAAAAGGACAACCAUACUUUUUUUUUUUUUUGGCAAUUUUCCCUUGUUUAAAAGGCCGCAUAUUUCCUUUUCCCAUCUUCUCGGAUUAUAGUCCGCAAGAAUAUAGAAAAAAUAGUAGGUAUAACUUCUUUUUUUUUUUUAAACAAUAUUAGGUAUAACUAGAAAAUGUAAUUACUUGAUUAUGGUAUUGUUGUGCGGCUGGACUAAUCAUAAAUAUUAUCACGCAACACAUUGACUUUUUGGCAAUUGAUGUUGUGAUCGUUACAGCUAUCAAAAUAGUCCACAUGUCUGCUAUACCUUAACUGUAAAACUGUUUUGACUAAUAUUGAUGUUGAGUAUAUACUCUGAUGCAAACAUAUAAUACGUAAGACACAGCUUGCAAACAUAUCAAGUAUGUAUAUAUGUUCAACAUAAAUCGGUUUUUAUUUCAUAGAUUACUUUUUGUGCUCUGUUUAUUUAUUUAUAAAAUAGCUGACUUCUAUAGAAAAUGAUGUUUUUAUUUAUUUGUGAUAUAUGUAGGUACCUUUCUUCCUUUUUUUGGGUCAACGUGUAGGCACCUUUCAAAUCAAUAGAAAACAAAUAAGGGGGUACGUGAUAAGAUAACUCCUUCGAUGGUUUCACAUUUCCACUAAAGGAAGUGGUAAACGAAAGAAAAUUGUAACAUGUCUCCACGAAAUUUUCUUUCAAGGAAAGUCAACGAGUUCUUUAAUUAGUAACUGUUAGAAUAAAAAUCGAAUACGCUUUGAGGGAAAAAAAAACACAAUCAGACUAACUUUUACAAUGUAACUGGAAACACGAAAAUUUUACAAUUCCCAGUAAUUACAAAAGACACGUAGCAAGAUGGAAUCUAUUGCUACCAUAGUCGUCUUGAUAUCGCGGAAGCUUCACCGACUUUCCACAAAACCGAAAUCGGCAUAAGAAGCUCUUGGAAGCUUUUGGAAGUUCGUUUGAACAAUAUAUCCGAAAAAAAUAUUUAGUGAACGCAUUAGAAGCUUGCGUUUCAGCUUUGGAAGCUUGCACUUCAGUUUUGAAACUUACGCUUCCAAUUCAAAAGUGAUAUCGUAAUUAAAUAACAAAUGUAAUGUUAUUUUUAAUUAGCGUAGCAACUGGAGAAAACAUUAUGUUUCUUCAUCUUCGUUUUUUUAAGAAUGAACAUCUAUUCUAUUAAUUAUAUUUGAAAUGAUAUAAGUAACCAGAUCAGAAUAAAACACCCAAUAAAAUAAAAAAAUUUAUGAAGAGAUCUUUCAAUACUAGCUAAAAAAUCAAAAAUUUCAUUAUACACUUUUGGGAUGUAAGAGAUUUUGAAGUCUGGAAAACACAGUUGAAAAAUCUUUAUCACCUCUAAUUAUGUUGCAAAGCUCGACCAUGGAUUAUGGUCAUUUAUCAUUACAAUCAUUGUCUUUGUAAUCCGUUCCAAAAUUCUAACUUGUUGGAUGUUGGAGCAUAUUUUUCAUAUCACAUUGUAGGUUUCCAAUUAUGUAUGCAAAGCAGUUUCUCACCGUCUUGAGUUCCUCGUCCUCAUAAGUUAAAUCAUCUUCUUCUUUUACCCAGUCUGGUUUGUUGAUCAAUAUUUAAAUCUGUCUGUUGAUAUAUUGAAAAACAAUUAUCAGUCCAAAAAUAUUGCCAUAUUUGGUUUACAUAACAUUUUUUACAUAACAUGAUCCUAAGUGAUUCAUGACCAUAUUCAUCGUGAACCAGUGAAGAAUCACAAUUUAUUCGUAGACACACCAUCGUAACUGAGGAUGGGGUCACAAUUGCUAGCAUAAAAUGUAAGAUUUGGUUAACUAUGUACAAUUGACCCUUUGUUUUAAGAUUGAACUAGAGUUUAACUCAGAUAUAGUUUCAUUUUAUGAAUAAAUAAUUUUGUUAUUAUCUUAAAUGCUUUAAAUAUAAUAUUUAUAUUUUAGUGUAAUACACUGUGUAACUCUAUAUUCUUAUUGUUUAGGUCUCUUUUUAUUAUUAAUAUAUAAUUAUUUGUUUACUUUGUUAUUAGUUAUUAUUAGUACAUGUUAAUAUAUUUUUGAGUUCCACACAAUAAAUUUACAGUCUUAAAUAAUCAAAUAGAAAAUAUAUUUCAAAAUAUGUUUUUUAGUUUAUACAUUUUGCAUACUAUACAUUUUUAAAAUUCAUUUAAGGUUUGACCGGUGUUGCCGCUAUUUUGGCAUUUAUAACAAUCAAAAUAGUACCAUAAAUCGCUUUUCACCGUUCCAAACCUCUCUAAAUCAAAAGAUGUUUUCAGUUAGCACUUUUUGGUUGCGAAUGGUUACGGAAAAGUAAAUAAUAAAUUUUUAAACUUACAACAAUAUAUUAUCUAAAAUGAUUAUAUAUAAAAUACAAUAGUAUAUAACUAACCUAUAUUUCAUGUGAUUUUUACAAAAUAUGCUAUUAAAAAACUUUGAAACUUUAAUAAUUCAAUAAGAUAUUAAUAACAGAUUAGUUUUAACUAUAUAUUUAAUUUUUAUUUUUUAUUUUAAAAAUUAUGUUGAGAAAAAUAUAAUACAUUUUAGGAAGGGAAAUUGCCACAAAUACCACAUUCAUAGUACCACUUUUCAAGUUUACACUAACCACUUUUACCCUCACUUUUUAUGAACGGUAAAAUACAAUUAUACCCUUAGGGUUAACUAAUAUAGACUUAGGGUUUAGAAUUAAGGGGUGGGUAGGAUUUUUGGAAUGUAAAAUUUAUGAUUCUAAUAAAUAUAUAAAUACUUAAAAAAUAUAUAAAAAUUUUUUAAAAUAGUUUCAAACAUAAUUUUCGUUUUCCAAACAGAAAUUUAAAAACAAAAAAUAAAAAAAAUUCGAAAAAAAAAAUUCAAAUUUUUUUUUAAAAAUAAAGUUCGAAUUUGAAAAAUUAUAAUUCAAAAACAUAAAAAAAAAAUUAGUUUUUUUUUAAUUUUUUUUAAUUUUUUUUAAAUUUUUUUUAAUUUUUUAAUUUUUUUAAUUUUUUUAAUUUUUUUAAUUUUUUUAAUUUUUUUAAUUUUUUUAAUUUUUUAAUUGUUUAUUUAAAUAAUGAUUUAUUAUAUAUAUAAAUAACAAGGGCAUAAGAGUCUUUUGUCACUUAAUAAAGAAGAUAUUUUUGAAAAUGUCUCAUUAGUGGUGGUAAAAAUGAAAAGUGGUACCAUAAAAGUGGUAAACAUGUAAUUUCCCCUUUUAGGAAAUAAAUUUAAAUAUUUUUAUAGUAUAAUUAUUUAAUUUGGUAACAAAAAAACUCAAAUUCAUAUAAUUCUCAAAACUCAAAAAAAUUGUGUACUUUUCCAAAUUUCUUUUCAAAAAUGUAAAAUUUUGAAAAUGAAUAUUUCAAACUCAAAAUGAGAAUAUUCUAAAUUUUAUCAAAAAUAUAAAACCAUAUAUGCUUAAGUAUAUUUUUUUAAAAAUGUAACACGAAAAAAAUAUUUUAAAAAUAAAAAGUAAUAUAAAUUUUAAAAAUCUUUAUUUAAUAACAAAAAAACAGAAAAAUUAUAGGGCUUAUUUGCUAUCUAACCAAAAUUUGAAGUUAAAUUAAGCAUAUGACAAUGAUUUUGACAUUAUUAACAAACUAACAUUUAUCUCACUUUUACUUUGGUUAUGCCUUCAAUAAUUACAAGUACCCAGUCAUGGAGGAGAGAUACAGUGGAUGACGUUGAUGCCUUUUGCUAUGGGCAUAAUUGAGCCACUACUAUUUACUAUACAAUCUUGUAAUGAAGCCAUGUUAUAUGUACUUAUUUACUAUGAACAUAUUUAUUAUACAUAAAACAAUAAAAAUAACAUAGAAUCUACAAGUGCAUGGAUGACUAAGGAGAAAAUCAACUAGAGUUUGGAAUUUUUGUUUUAUUUUGUAUUAUGAAAAACAUUGUUCUUUUCUAUUUAAUAAAACUUGAAUAGUUCGAAUUGCAUUUUUAUAUACGGAAUAGAAUGAUCUGGUACAGCAAAUUGAGCAAGUUGGUAUUCAAUUUGAAUGUUCUGAAAUCCAAAAAUGUACAAACGCAUGAUUUAAAUGUUUUGAAGUGUUUUUAUUCUAUAUCACCAAAAUAGUAUAGGAUACUAAACGUUUUUUAACUCCUAAAUGAUAAAAAUUAUCCCAAUCCCACCUCCAAUCCCUAAAUACUAAACCCUAAACCCUAACUACUAAACCUUAAAUCCAAAUAUAAACUCAAAAUCCAAAUAUCUUUAUAUAUAAAAUCGACUUUUUCUCUUCUUCUCACAAGUGACAGGGGAGAAUUCUAACACUUAUCCCUCAAAGAAAUUCACUUAAAAAUAUUCAAAACUACACAAUACAUGUUGCUUACCGUGUACAAUACUAUACAAUUUAACAAACCAAACCAGUAUACAAUAUAUUGGUUUUCAUUUCUACUAAAGAUAUCUAAUAUACAAUAUAUUCACAAACCAAUAUAUAAGAUUCGACAGUUUACCGUGAUGACUAAAAAAUUCGAGUGUACAAUGCUUUAUAUAUAAAGAUAUACAAUACUAUACAAUAUACAAGAUAUUCACAAACAUAUCUAUUGUGAUAUUAUAACCAAUAAUUGAUUAGAUAUUAACAAAAACUAAUAAAAAAUACGCCACAUAUUAUAUCAUAUUAUUUUAUUAACUAAACAUUCUUUUUUUGCAUUACAUUUAACAUCCGACUAAAUUAAAAAAAACUUAUAAUAUUAUAUUAUAAGUGACCAUAGCAAAAUAAGACAUAACAAGGACAAAAAUUUUAAAAUAAAAACAAAAACAAAAACAUAUGUUUGCCCCAUAUUUUCGUUGUCCAAAUAAUAAAUUUAGUUUUAAAUAACACUAGAGUGAAUUUACUUAGUAAACUUAUUGACAUAAAAUAGAAAACAUAGCUAUUGUGAUAUUGUAAUCAAUAAUUGCUAGGUUUUGAACAAAAAUAAUAAUAAAAAACCAUAUUAAUAUAUCAUAUUAUAUUAUUAACCAUUCAUUCUUGGGUUUGCAUAUGAUUUAACAUUUGACAUAUUUUAAAAAAUAAUAUUUUUUAAAUAUGAUUUUUUGACUUUUUAAAACUAAUUUAGUGAAUUCCUAAUUGUAAUAGUUACUGAUAUUGUACUAUACCAUCUUUAAUAAAAAUGGCUUUAAAAUGUCAAAAUGGCACACAUAAAAAUAAAAUACAAACAUUUUUUCAUGAAAAAUAAUUAUCAACAUUCCCGCGCAUAGCGCAGACACCCCCUUAGUAAUUCAUAAACUCAAAUAGAAUGGAACAAAAUAAAUAACAUUGUACAUAUUGGUGAAAAUAUGAAAUAUAUAUGAUUACAUGGAAGAAUUUAAUGCUAACUUUAACUUCAACCCCCACUUUACAAAUACUAAACCCUAAACCCUAAUCACUAUCCCUAAACCCAAACCCUAACUCUAACCCCAAAUAUCAAAAUCUGAAAAUAGUACAUCAUUUUAUGUAAUAUUAAACUAUACGAUAUAGACCAUUCAUUUCAAUUAUUUACUUUAAAAUAUAAAAUAUAAUCAUUAUAAAUAGAAUAAUAUUAAAUAUUAUUGAAAUUCAGUUGGUGUUGUUGCCGUCUUGAGAAUUGGAGAAAGAAUCUGGGAAGUUGAAGAAGACAUGGUUGAAAGAGGUGGAGAAGGGUGAGUGAAUAACAAGAGCCACAAAUUUCUUUUUCAAUUAAUUAGUAAGGGUAAUUGCACUGGAUAUACAUAGAUAAAACAUUAUUUAGGUGAUCGAUUAUGACUAUUCCAAUUUUCAAAUAUUCCAAAAGUAUCCCUAUAGCACCUCAUCUCCGAUCCCCAAAACGCAAGAAAACAAUGUCGUUUACCAGCUCCCACCUCCUCCCUCCGCAAGAAGACCUUCCUCUCCGACACUUCUCCGAUCAAUCCCACCAACACCCUCAGCCUCACUUCUCCGAAACACCGUCGCUAAAAUGUCUAUUUUAAUAUAAAGUUGGCUAUUAAAACUUAUAAAAUAGCAUAUAAUUUAUCAUUUUUAUAAUAAAAAUUAAUCAACACAAAUUUAUAAUGAUAUUAUAUUACUGAUAAGGAAAUUAAUUAAUGCAUUAUUUAGAAAAUUUAAUAAGAUUUUGUUUUUGCUCAACAGAUUUUGUUAUAACUAAAAUAAAAUUUAAAUUUAUAGAUUAAAUUGAUUUAUUAAUAAUAAAUUGUGAAUUAUUAAGAUUUUUUAGAAAUGUUACAUAUUUGAUUGAUUAAUAUAAUAAUCAAAUAUGUUAUAUUAAGUAAUUAAUGAAAUAAUCCUACUAUGACUUUUGUACGGUAAGAAAUUGACUCAUAUCCGUGUAACGACAUAAUGGAGUGUACUGAAAUGCCUUUAAAUCCAGAUUACAUAACAACCCAAAGCUCAUAUGCUAUUAGACCACUAUAUAAUGGUUAAAUAAUAAAAGUUGUGUGUUUUAUUGGUGGUUUUAAGUUCUGUGUAAACAUUCUCAAUGGCUUAUAGUUUCAAUUCUGAUAUAGUAUAAACUGGUUGUACCAAGUAUAGAAUAAAUCCAUUGCUAUAGAUCACAGAGAGUUGUCACUGAUAAAAUAGACUAAAAGUAGAUUUCAAAAGAAAUAGAAACUAUGUGCAGACCAUAACAUACGGAAAGAAGGAAGAGAAAUUAAGAAAGUGAUGAAAAUUAAAAUAAACUAAAAUAAAUUUUGGAUAUACCCUUAAGAUGCGGGAGACUAAGCUUCUCCGAUCUCCUCUAUAAAUUCCCGACGUCUGUGAAACCACAACCACAACCACUUUUCCCUACCUCUCUCUAUCAAAUACUUUUCUCUCCUUUUGCCUCGUCCUUCUCCUUCGCCAACGUUAACACAACGUGACGGUAAGAUUAAUUACAAGUUAAUUGUAUCUUCAUUUAGAAAAAAAAGUGUAUUGUAUCUUCAUCCAAAUUUCGCACACACUUGAAAGUAUUUUAUUAUGUAUAUUUUAAUAGUCUUACAUUACAAAAAAAUCUUACUAUUAAGUUUUGAUUGUAUUAUCAUUGAAAAUACAAUACUUACAAUAACAAACAAAAAAUACACAGUAUUAACUUUUGUAACUGGACGUAAACAGGAGAGACAAGAGAGGCUAAGAUGGCUGAACAACAACUAGGAGUGCUGAAGGCGCUCGAUGUUGCGAAAACGCAACUUUACCAUUUCACGGCGAUCGUCAUCGCCGGUAUGGGUUUCUUUACAGAUGCUUAUGAUCUGUUUUGUGUCUCCUUGGUGACCAAGCUUCUUGGCCGCCUAUACUACUUCAAUCCGUUGUCAGAAAAACCUGGUUCACUUCCCCCUCAUGUUGCGGCGGCGGUCAACGGUGUGGCCCUUUGUGGAACCCUUGCUGGUCAGCUUUUCUUUGGAUGGC
rnacentral:lncRNA from 1 species